AGGUGCUUGGGCUACUCAAGGCUCCAUGGAAGCACCUUGUCUACCUUUAGCCUUGUCAAAUGCUCACCUAGGCGUACAAAGAAGAUAAAAACAAAUUGGCCCCUAAAAAUCAUAAGUGGUAAACAAAGAGCCAAAAACUAAGAGGAAAAUAGAAUCAAAAUGGAAAGAAUUAAGAUCAUUGUUGAGAUCACCAUAAGUUGCCUUCCCAAUGCCUUCUUUUUUCUUUUGUACGGGGAAAGGUCACCAUGACCUACACAAGAACACGAAUUGGGGAAGAGUCACUUGAGGUUGGCUAGAGCUUUCACCCACCAUGGGUUUUUGGCGAGUGAAGUCACUUUCCGAUGAAACCAUAGUGCAUGAUGGCAAGUGGUUAAUCUUCAAGGUUGUUGCUCUUCAGCGACACAUGAGCAGUUCUGCUGGGGCAUCAUCUCCUGCCCUGCCGGUGAAUGCUGGAAGUAUAGAUUGGUUGGGUCCUGGUCAGAGUUCCAAAGCAGGUUCUCUAUCUCGAAUUGGUUCACAGACCCUGCGGCCUUCGUUGAGCACAAGUGCUGGUGGUUCUGCCCUUGGAUCAUCACAGCCUUCUUGCAGACCGUGGGAAAGGGUGGAUUUACUAAGGCGCCUUUCUACCUUUAAACCUGCUAAUUGGUUUGGAAAGCCGAAGGCUGCAAGUUCAUUGGCUUGUGCCAGAAGAGGCUGGGUGAAUGUUGAUGUUGAUACAAUUGAGUGCGAGUCAUGUGGUGGUAACCUGCAAUUCUAUUCAUCCGCUUCCUGGACAUCUACAGAAGCUGACACUGCUGCAGAGGAGUUUGCAAAACAGCUAGAUCCAGGGCACAAAGUCACUUGUCCUUGGAGAGGAAACAGCUGUGCAGAAAGCUUGGUGCAAUUUCCUCCUACUCCUGCAUCGGCGCUGGUUGGGGGUUAUAAGGAUCGCUGCGAUGGACUCCUGCAGUUUCUUUCGCUCCCAGUUGUGGCUGCUUCUGCAAUUGAGCAGAUGCGAGUUUCUCGAGGUCUAGAAAUUGACCGUUUUCUUCACUCACAGGCUCUCACAGCUGGGGAAUCUGGCUUCAAGGCAGAGAAUAUAUCUGGGAUCGAAAAGACUAGAGAAGAAGCCUUGUGUAUAUACUCGCGUGCUCAUAAGUUGAUAAGCUUGUGUGGAUGGGAACCAAGGUGGCUUCCAAAUGUUCAGGAUUGCGAAGAACAUUCUGCACAAUCAGCUAGGAAUGGAUGCUCAGUUGGUCCUACCAGAGACCAUGGCCAUAUGCAAGGCGCUGGUCCUAGCAAGAAACCACCCCCUGCUACCAGAAAGGAUUCUGGAAGGAAUGAGAUAAUUGCUCCCGAGUCUAACUGUGAAUCUAGAUCACCCUUAUUAGAUUGUAGCUUAUGUGGAGCCACUGUUAGAAUCUGGGAUUUCCUGACUGUAUCUCGUCCAGCUCGCUAUGCUUCCAGUGGCGUAGAUAUUCCUGAAACAAGCAAGAAAAUGGCUUUAACACGUGGAGUAAGUGCAGCCAGUGGAAUCAGUGGGUGGGUUGGUACUGAUGGCAUUGACAAGGAGCAGACUGAGGACCAUGAUGAAGCAACAACCGCAGAUGAAGGGAAAUCUCAGUCAAAUGUUGGGGUGGAUUUAUGUCUGACAAUGGCUGGUGGGUUGUCCUCUACGCAGUUGCAUGUGCCAGUGAGAUCUGAACAAUACCAAGAUGUUAGCAUGGGAAGGGACUUAAAAAUUGGGCAGCCUUCCAGUAGCGAGGUUGGUGAUCGUGCAGCUUCUUAUGAAUCACGGGGUCCCAGCACACGCAAACGGAACUUGGACGAAGGGGGAAGUACUGUUGACAGGCCAAAUUUAUUGAUGCAGCAGGCAGACAGCAUUGAAGGAACUGUUAUUGACCGUGAUGGUGAUGAAGUUGAUGAUGGUAGACAGUACUCAGCUGGCCCCUCAAAGCGUGCCCGUGACUAUGAUUCUUUUGAAAUGCCAUAUUGGAAAGAUUCAUCUGGUGCUGGUCCUAGCCAUUCAGUUGGUUUUGAAAUAGAAACGGAUGCUCAUAGAGUUGAACCCUUGCAUCAUGGAAAUGAACAAAUUAUUGGAAUGCCAUCCACUAGAGAUUCAACACAUGUCUCCUCUGUCAUUGCAAUGGAUACAAUUGGUCACAGUGCAGACAAUGAUUCUAUGGAAAGUGUUGAAAACUAUCCCGGAGAUGUUGAUGAUGCCCAUUUUGCCUCAACAUCAACAUUUAAGAAUCCAGAUUUGAAUGAUGCAUCAGAGUUAAACUAUAGCAAUCAAGCGCAACAAAGCACCAGUCCAGCUGCCUUGAGAAUUACUGGUGAAGUGGGUGUUAGCAGCACGAAUGAUGGUGAGGAAGUAUUGAAUGCAGAUACUGCAACUGCUCAUGGUAGGGAUGGGCUUAGCAUUGGCAUCAGUGGAGGAAGUGUUGGCAUGGGUGCUAGUCAUGAAGCUGAAAUACAUGGGAUUGAUGUUUCUGUCCACAGAGACAGAGCAGAUAGUGUUGUUGGUGAUGUGGAGCCAGUUGCUGAAGUGACUGAGAAUCAGGGUCAAACAGGUGAAUUUGCUCCAGAUCCUGGGCUAAUGGGUGAUUUUGUCCCAGAAGAGAUUGAUCGAGAAGACCCUCAUGGCGAUAGUCAAGAUUUGAUGUUUCCAUCUAUUGGAAGGGCAGAUAGUGGCUCCAAAAUUGUUGGUUCAAUGAAGGCUGAAUCUGUUGAAAGUGGUGAGAAAACCAGUAACACAUUACGCCUGGAGAACAGUGUCCAUCCUUCUCUUUCUUGCAAUGCUGUUGUAUGUUCUGGUUAUGAAGCAUCCAAGGAAGAAGUGACUCAGGGCGGCAAGACAUCACCUGCUGAUGACUCUGCAUACCCUGACUCAGGUUAUUUGGUGGGAAAUGGGAUAGGGCCUCCAAAUGGAGAAAGCAACUAUGAAGAAGCUGUUGAGUUUGACCCAAUUAGGCAUCAUAAUUAUUUCUGUCCUUGGGUGAAUGGUAAUGUUGCCGCAGCAGGCUGUAGUAGUAGCAGUGGCUCCAGUUCCAACGGUGGUUCUGUAGCCCUCUGUGGUUGGCAGCUGACACUGGAUGCCUUGGAUGCCUUCCAAUCACUUGGACACAUCCCAAACCAAACUGUUGAAUCUGAAUCAGCUGCAUCACUGUACAAGGAUGAUCAUCUAACAUCAAAUCGGAAACUUUUGGCUCGUCAUUCCUUCAGCAAAAGCCGUGGGCAGAACUGAAUUAUAGUCUCAUUCCAGAAUAUUGCUAAACAGGAGUCAUCAUUCUGUGUUACUGUUCCCAGUUCGUGCUGCCAUAGAUGUUUUCCUGAUUACUGGAACUUGCCCUCCGGUAGAGACUGAAAAAUAAUUUCUUGACUUACCACCACCUGAAUCAUGGAUUGCUUGCCUUGGUUGCAUUAAACUGGCUUUUAACACCUUCCUCACUAAAAAUGUUUGAGAAAAUUACUCAAUCCACAGGCAGAGCUUGGCACCUUCUUAUGAAGCAAAAACUACAUAUCAGGUUGUGAGGCGGUUAAAGGGAUUCGGGGAGGAGUCGGUUGCUGCCGGCUUCAAGACAGACUCGGACCUUGGAAAAAGCUGGAUGCUGCUACAAUCGUGUCGAACCGUUUCUUCUUCUUCCUUUCUGUAUUCCCCCUUUUCUGGAUUAGUAGUAAUAAAAACAUAUCUUGGGUAGGCAAAUGUGACUUCCCCUCCCUUAAUUUAGGUGCUGAUGACUCUUAUGGUUGGACAGUCAAAAGUGUUUUAUGAGGACAGCUACUGUUUAUCAUGUGGUUCUAGACAUCAUGAAUAUGAACUGUGCUAUUUAUAAGCCUUGUGAGAUAUCAUGUUCCAAUUUUACUGCCCUUCUGUACUUC